UGCCAUAUGAUGUUUCUCCGCACGUACAGGACUAAAAAAGUGGGUGGAAGUGGGGAACUCUGGUGUCUUCAGACCAGAGAUGCUGCUGCCGAUGGGUCUCCCUGAAGACGUGUCCGUUAUUGCUUGGGGGCUGUCUCUGGAAAGACCCACCAUGAUUAAAUACGGCAUAAACAACAUCAGAGAGCUGGUGGGACACAAGGUCAAUCUGCAGAUGGUUUACGACAGCCCCAUUUGUCGACUGGACUCCUGAGUUUGGUACAGACCUCUUUUAGAUUUUGGACCCACUCUGUCACUGUUGCCAUAACGAAAUACAAUUGUAUUUUGAUGGCAUUUUAAAAUCAGGUGACAGGCUUUUGUGUAUACACGAGAAUGCAAAACGGUAGUCUCGGAACCGACGCCAUCCUGUGUUGCGAGACUAAACUCAACUGUGCAGGUUCCUUUUGAAUAAUAAACAUUUUCCAAACUGUCAAACUCCCGACAGUUUCGAGUGACGAUACGU